UUGUAUGAAAACACUCCGCCCUUCGGGCGUCGUGUUUCCAUACAAUUUCUCUUUUUCCCAAUUCCACUCGUGUUGAUAUAACUGUAUAUCAACACGGAAAAUGUUCUAUAUUUGUUAAAUAUCAACACGAGUGGAAAUUGGGAAAAUGAGAAAUUGUGUGGAAACACGACGCCCGAAGGGCGGAGUGUUUUCACACA
rnacentral:miRNA from 1 species